rnacentral:rRNA from 1 species
UACGUAGGGGGCAAGCGUUGUCCGGAAUCAUUGGGCGUAAAGAGCGUGUAGGCGGCCUUUUAAGUCCUGCGUGAAAUCCUGCGGCUCAACCGCAGACGGUCGUGGGAAACUGGAAGGCUAGAGUGCGGGAGAGGAGAGUGGAAUUCCCGGUGUAGCGGUGAAAUGCGCAGAUAUCGGGAAGAACACCCGUGGCGAAGGCGGCUCUCUGGAACGCAACUGACGCUGAGACGCGAAAGCGUGGGGAGCAAACGGG